GAUUGAACGCUGGCGGCAGGCCUAACACAUGCAAGUCGAGCGGAUGAAGGGAGCUUGCUCCUGGAUUCAGCGGCGGACGGGUGAGUAAUGCCUAGGAAUCUGCCUGGUAGUGGGGGAUAACGUCCGGAAACGGGCGCUAAUACCGCAUACGUCCUGAGGGAGAAAGUGGGGGAUCUUCGGACCUCACGCUAUCAGAUGAGCCUAGGUCGGAUUAGCUAGUUGGUGGGGUAAAGGCCUACCAAGGCGACGAUCCGUAACUGGUCUGAGAGGAUGAUCAGUCACACUGGAACUGAGACACGGUCCAGACUCCUACGGGAGGCAGCAGUGGGGAAUAUUGGACAAUGGGCGAAAGCCUGAUCCAGCCAUGCCGCGUGUGUGAAGAAGGUCUUCGGAUUGUAAAGCACUUUAAGUUGGGAGGAAGGGCAGUAAGUUAAUACCUUGCUGUUUUGACGUUACCAACAGAAUAAGCACCGGCUAACUUCGU
rnacentral:rRNA from 2 species